AUUCUCAUCUCACCAGGCUGGAACUGAAAUUCUUUUUGUGAAAAUUUCACGGAAAAGAAAUCCCAACAGGCCAGCGCAAGUAACGAACAAAACAAGAGCUGAAAUUGAUCAAAAAUGUCUGAAGGUCUAGGUUCCAGAUCAAAAGACUGCUGCUUUGAAACUCUUCAGGAAGACGCUGGAGGCUCAAGAACAAAAUGAAACUUCAGCAAAGUGUUCAUUGAGUUUUCCUUACUGCCUUGAAGCAACCCUCCAAUGACUAAUUGCUUGGAUUGAGACUGCACAUCAACAAGUAUUUUAACAUUUUCAAGACUCUGGGAUGGGGCCUAUAUUUUCUGUACUGAAUCCCAAUGUUAUGCCUACCUAUCUAUGCUCAUGAUAGAUACCAAAAUUAAUAAAGAAUAUGUG